rnacentral:snRNA from 1 species
ACAGUUCCUUAGUACAGUUAUUUUACAAAUGAGAAAUAAAAAGAUUAGCAUAGCCUAUGUGCAAGGAUGACAAGCAAAUUCAUGAACUUUUCUCUUUAUUU